rnacentral:snoRNA from 1 species
ACCUGCAUUUGAAAGUGACUGCUCUUGCCUGUGGCUUGGUCAUUGAUAGUGCAGAGAGAGGAACUCCAGAAAGCUUUUCCCAUCUUUGGAGGGUCUGUUUCUGUUCCUGCCAAACCCUGUAACUUUCAGGCA